rnacentral:rRNA from 1 species
GAUGAACGCUGGCGGCGUGCCUAAUACAUGCAAGUCGAGCGAACGGACGAGAAGCUUGCUUCUCUGAUGUUAGCGGCGGACGGGUGAGUAACACGUGGAUAACCUACCUAUAAGACUGGGAUAACUUCGGGAAACCGGAGCUAAUACCGGAUAAUAUUUUGAACCGCAUGGUUCAAAAGUGAAAGACGGUCUUGCUGUCACUUAUAGAUGGAUCCGCGCUGCAUUAGCUAGUUGGUAAGGUAACGGCUUACCAAGGCAACGAUGCAUAGCCGACCUGAGAGGGUGAUCGGCCACACUGGAACUGAGACACGGUCCAGACUCCUACGGGAGGCAGCAGUAGGGAAUCUUCCGCAAUGGGCGAAAGCCUGACGGAGCAACGCCGCGUGAGUGAUGAAGGUCUUCGGAUUGUAAAACUCUGUUAUUAGGGAAGAACAUAUGUGUAAGUAACUGUGCACACCUUGACGGUACCUAAUCAGAAAGCCACGGCUAACUACGUG